AAAAGGGAGAUGCUAUUGUUCCCCUCGCCUACGCGGCAGCGAGAGACAACAUCAUCGCAACAUUUCACCCCCGAACAGCUCAGCGGAGUGCUCGGCAGCAUAAUGAGAGGAUUAAUGGCUAAGCCUGGCUCUGGGUGUGUCCGUGGGCAGGAGGCACCCAGGCGCCCAACGCCACCACCUCCAACCCUCGCCAGCCCCAGCGGGCACCAAUUCACCGUCACCCGGCUUUCCUAAAGCCCGAAAGAACUAAACCAGGACCACCAAUUUAAGCUUUACUGAGCAGACUGGAAGGCAUGAAUAAGUAUGGCACUGCCUGGAUCUGAAAGGUGAGACAUGCACAGAGAUCUUGGCAUCAACUACAGGACACUGCAGUG